rnacentral:rRNA from 1 species
CGGCCAGACUCCUACGGGAGGCAGCAGUGGGGAAUAUUGCACAAUGGGGGAAACCCUGAUGCAGCGACGCCGCGUGAGUGAAGAAGUAUUUCGGUAUGUAAAGCUCUAUCAGCAGGGAAGAAAAUGACGGUACCUGACUAAGAAGCCCCGGCUAACUACGUGCCAGCAGCCGCGAUAAUACGUAGGGGGCAAGCGUUAUCCGGAUUUACUGGGUGUAAAGGGAGCGUAGACGGCAUGGCAAGUCUGAUGUGAAAACCCGGGGCUCAACCCCGGGACUGCUUUGGAAACUGCCCGGCUAGAGUGCUGGAGAGGUAAGUGGAAUUCCUAGUGUAGCGGUGAAAUGCGUAGAUAUUAGGAGGAACACCAGUGGCGAAGGCGGCUUACUGGACAGUAACUGACGUUGAGGCUCGAAAGCGUGGGGAGCAAACAGGAUUAGAUACCCGAGUAC